AAACCAGCACCCCAAGUGGUCAGGAUGAUUAUUGGGCCUAAAGCAUCCGUAGCCUGCUCUGUAAGUUUUCGGUUAAAUCUGUACGCUCAACGUACAGGCUGCCGGGAAUACUGCAGAGCUAGGGAGUGGGAGAGGUAGACGGUACUCGGGAGGAAGUGGUAAAAUGCUUUGAUCUCUCGAUGACCACCUGUGGCGAAGGCGGUCUACCAGAACACGUCCGACGGUGAGGGAUGAAAGCUGGGGGAGCAAACCGGAUUAGAAACCCCGGUAGUCC
rnacentral:rRNA from 1 species